rnacentral:lncRNA from 1 species
UAAUAAAAUAGUAAUAAUAAAAUUUUAAAUUUUUUUUAAAUUUACAUUUUAACCAUUGUACUUUUUGAAAUUUACAUUUUGACCCCAAACUUUUCUAAAAUUUACAUUUUGACCCCAAAAUUUUCUAAAACUACAUUUUGACCCUUAAACUUUCUCAAAAUUUCACUUUAACCCCUAAACUCUCAGGAAAUUACAUUUUGGCCCGUAUUUUUGCUAAAAUUUCACUUUUGCCCCAAAAGCUUUGCAUCCUAUGCAAUUUGGUCCUCCUGGACUUGUCAAAUCGCCACAAUGGCAGCCGAGCGUACCCCUCCCCAGCCGAGCUACUCCAACAGCCUCCCUAGGCUAUAAUGGCUCCCCUGCAACCUGAAAACAAAAUUGAAAGUAUUUAAAAGAGGGGGAAGGAAGAAAUAGAGAGGGAGAGAAAAGGGGGGUUCAAAAUUUUUUGGCAACCAAAGCAAAAAAAAAAAUAGCAGAAAAUUCCAGCAGCAAAAAAAACACUCCCAUUAGCCAAUCCCACGCUCACCGCCAUCGUUGCACCACCACCGGUGUUGCUCCACCGCCGGCACCUACAACAAAUCAAACACAACACACAACACACAACAAGCAACAAGCAACCAAAAAGCAAGAAAAAGACAGUAAAAAACAGCAGCAAAAAAUAAAAAAUAGUGAGAAAUUUUUGGUCUUCUUCGUGAGCCACCGAGGGAGGAGAAGAGCCAAGGACGAGCGUUGCGGCGGCGCUUUCAACCUUGGGGUUGCCGAGAAAAGAAAUAGAAGAGAAAGAAAAGAGAGGAAAGGGAAAGAGAAGAGAAAAAGGAAAAGAAGAGGAGAGAACGCCGAGACUAGCGCCACCGAACGGAGGAGUCGACGGCGGCAGUGGACAACGGAGGAGAAGCGGCGGCUGGGGCUCAAAAGAAAGAAAAAGUAAAGGGAAGACGAAGAAGAAAGGAGAAAGAAAAAAGAAAAUAAAAAAGAAUAAAAGCAGUAGCCCAAACCCAACAAGUUUAUCAAAAAAGAGAGAAGAAAAAAUCUGCAGCAAGCCACAUUGUUAGCAGGCCAAUCCGGCGGCCCAACUCCCAGCUGGCCCAAUUCGCAGCAAAAAAGGGAAAAGGGCUUGUCUUUCAAGCCCAUAACUUUGGGCUUUGGUAAAUUUUUUUAAUCUAUUUUAUUUUAUUUAAUGUAUUUAAAUGGUGUUUUAUUUAAUUUAAAUUAGUAUGUUUAAAAAUAGUUUUUAUAAAUGUUAUUAUGUUAUUUUAAUUGCAUAUUUAAAAAUAAUAAUAAUAAUAUUUUAGUGCAUAAGGCAAUGAACCGAUUUAGCAUCGAGUCAUCGAAUUCAUCGCUAUGUUGGGUGGAUAUCGAUAGCUCGUGUUAAAGUCGGGACGCUCUUUUAAAAAUAAAAAAUAUUCAAAAAUCUUCGUAUUUUAAAAAAAAAUUCUCGUAUUUUAAUAAAAUCCCGAUUAAAUAUUAAAUUGAAUCGUUUUGACACUAAUUCGUCGAUUUCGUUGCCAUGUUGGGGUGAAAAUCAUCGAUUAGUGUUAAAUACGGUACGUUUUUAAAAAAAUAAAAAAAUAAAAAUGAAAAAUUCGUGUUUCAAAUCUUAUUACUCGUAUUUCAAAAUUUUCGACUUUUCGCAUUUUCAAGAGUUUUCGUGUUUCAAAGGAAAUUUCUGCGUUUUAAAAGAAAAAAUUCGUAUUUCAAAAAUUGUCAUGUUUUCAAAAUUGUCGUGUUUUAAAAAUUCUAGCGUUUUCAAUAAUUUUCGUGUUUUCAAAAAUUCUCGUAUUUCAAAAACUUUCUUGUUUUCAGAAAAAAAAAUUUCCCUGUUUUAUAAAUUUCCGUGUUUUCAAAAAUUCUAGUAUUUCAAAAUAAAAUUUUAUGUUUUAAAAAUUUUCUGUGUUUUUUUUUAAAUUUCCCGUGUUUUCAAAAAUUCCCUUAUUUUAAAAACUUUCUUGUUUUUCAAAAAAAUUUCCCUGUUUUAUAAAUUUUCGUGUUUUCAAAAAUUCUCGUGUUUUUAAAAUUUUUGGUGAUAUAAAAAAAAAUUUCCUGUUUUCAAAGAAAAUUUCAUGUUUCAAAAAUCCUCGUGUUUCAAAAAAUUCCGUGUUUCAAAAUUUUUGCGUUCUCAAAAAUUUCUCGUUUUUCAAAAAUUGUCAUGUUUCGCAAAUUUUCGUGUUGUAAAAAUUUUCAGGUUUUCAGAAAUUUUCGUGUUUCUAAAAAAUUCUCGUGUUUCACAAAAAUUCCGUGUUUUCAAAAAAAAAUGGUGUUUCAAAAUUCUUGUGUUUUCAAAACAAGAGAUUCUCGUGUUUCAAUCGAAUCACGAUUAAAUAUUAAAUUGAACUCAUAUUUUAGAAAAUUAAGACAGCGCGUGUUUGACGAGAUACCAAUUUUGGGUGUCGCGAGGGUGUUAAUACCUUCCUCGCGCGUAACCGACUCCCGAACCCUAAUUUUCUCUGGAUUUUGACGUGGACCUAAAAUCGACUCUUUUUUAGAAAAUUUGAAAAAUAAUUUUUCUUUUAAAAAAAAAAGAAUUUAUUUGGUGUCCGAUCACACCUAGAAAAAGAUCGGUGGCGACUCCCUUUUUAAAUGAAAUCGGAAUUCCGUUUUCAAAUUUUCAAUAAUUAUUUCGACUAGCGCCCGUGCUCAAAUUUUUAGGUCGCUACAGCUGGCGACUCCGCUGGGGACUUUUUUUUUUGAGAGUCGAGUCUGAUGUUAAACGCGUGUUGUCAAAAUUUUCAAAAUUUCUUGUUCAAAUUAAUUUUUAAUCGUGAUCCUUGAAUUUUAUUUUUUUUAAAAGUCACGCAUUUGCAUUCGAUUUUUAAAUUAAUAAUUUUCUAACGUGUUUUAUUUUUCUAUUUUUUUUGUCAGCUCUAAGUUUUACGGUUUUUUAGUUUGUUUUUUUUAGAAAAAUAAAAAGGUUUGUGAGUUUCUCUCCACACACCGUGCACUUGCAUUUUUUGCAUAACAUGGGCUCUUUACCCGAGCUCCGUCCGUUUAAGCGGAAGUAAACGCUACGCCUUCGUGAGUUAACUCGUCCCUCCGCAUAGGCUAGUAAAUUACUUCCGGGUUACAUAUGACUUAUGCUUUCGUGAGUUAACUUGUCCCUCCGCAUAGGCAUAAGUAAAUGUAAUCCCUCGAAUUGAGCUCGCAAGCCCAUGAUGGGUGAUAACCGAGGCUCCAUACUAACCUUAGUAGGUGACAGUAUGGACAAUUCAAGUACCUCUUUAGAACCGAAACCGCAUAUAGUGAACCGUACGAGCCACUUGAGUAGAGCCAUACCGAACCUCUGUCCGUUUGAUAGUUACCAAAAUAAGUACACGGGAGAAACGCCUCUUUCCUUUUAUUUCUUUUACAUUUACACUUAUUUGCAAAUGAAGUGAGUCUGUUUAAAUUGGGUCGGAUAGAAGGUCUGAUGGUAUGUGGGGUAGGUUUCUUGUAAAGUGUGUUGGGGCAAAAAAAAUGUGGGUCUGUUCCACCAAAUUGCAUGAUUGAAUAGCUUAAUUUGUUAAAUUUUCCAUAGUCUUUAUUAUUCUUUUUAUAUUUAUUGUGAUCUCUAACCAAGGUUAUCUGUUUUUCAUUUUAUUUUUCAUCAUGCAUCGUAGACAUCUCAUUAGGAAGGUGUUGGUUAAAUAUUGGUUGCCAAAAACGGGUUUCUGAUGGAGGAGUCAAUUACACGAGUAACCGAGAAAAAUGCCGUAGUCCGAGAUUGGUCUUUGAAGACUCAAAAAGUGAAAGGGGAUAGUUUAAAGGAAAGAU